AUGCAUUGUCAACAGUACCUACUGACUGCUGUUCCUUCCACUUUGGGAGCAGAAAAUGUUACUGUCUUUGCAGUGAUUAUUAAUAUUUAUGUCAACUCCAGUGUUGUUGUGAUGGGUGAAUGGCCCUCCUCAGCCACCCUUCUACUAGAUGAGCCCUGCCAGCCCCAGUUGCCAUGGAUCUUCCAAAUAAAGAACCUGCCAUGCUGCCAUGGCUACCAACACAGACCUUCAGCGGAAGAAGGAGGGAGUAAGGACUGUGAAUGGAGAAAAGAGGAAAGAAGGAAAAGGAAGGAAGAUGAAGAGACAAAGAGUAGGAGGAGGAGCAGAAGCGGGAUGAGUAGGCCAGUGGGAUAUGUGUUGCUGGGAAAUUUGGGGUCUUGCUGCCCCAGUGCCUAUGUUGGCUAAGGGUAGAGUAGAAGCCAGAAGGACCCUCUAUGGGUCCACCACUGAGGGACCCAUUCUCCUCCCCUAAGCCCCACCAGUUUCAGUAGUCUGAUGCAGGUCUAGAUAGAGACCAAUCUGAAUUUUUUUAAAACCCUGAAGAAUUAAAUCAGGAGUAGCAUUUGGGGUUGAAAAGUUCCACUGAGGCCAGGUACUAUGAUAAAAUGCCACAUAUUGAGACAGAAUCGGAUCUUGUAAAACAAUAAAAGUUGCAAUAUGCCACUUACUUAGUUUAACCCACUUUGUGAUUCAGACUUUUGGUAAUGUCUAGAAUGUAAAAUUUAAGGAAUUUGACAUAAGUAUUUUCCGAAAAUGACUGAACUCCACCGUAAGAACUAAAAAUGCUUUAGUACUGAGUUAGCCCAAACACAUUCAUACAUACCAUCAACUCUAAAUAAUAGAUAUUGAAGGCUUGUUUUACACUUCUAGCUUGCUUCUGUAUAGAUGUGUCUGUUCUUAAUUAAGGAUUUGAAAAUUCCUCACAAACUGAACAGUUGAGAGAAGAUGGAUUCGUGUAUUCAUUACUCCAUUCCUCAAAACAUUUAUUAACCACCUAUGAUGCCUUAGGUCUUGGAAAACAAAAAAAGAGAAAGACACCUUGCCUACCCUCAGUAAAGAGAAAAUCAUAGCCAUGUGACCCCAGGGAGCUAUGGGACCCCCUGGGAAUUGUGUCUUUUCUGGUCUAGUCUAAACUUCUUUUUCUAUAUAGUCAAAGCCUGCAGAUCGUUCUUUGCCAAUUGUUGCAAAUUGUCUUGUUCCUGAUGGAUUAAAUGCAGAUAUGGAAUUCUGCCUUGGGUCUUGCAAUUUUGUAAAAUAGAUAUUUGGUUUUCAUCUCCAUUUCCUCAUGUACAGCUCCUAAAACCCCUGGAAUCUCUGGAGUGAUAAGAAUGUCUUUUGUAUGCUAAUGAGAUGACUGGUGGCUGGGGCCUCCAGGUAGCUUCAGGAUAGAGUCUAGUCACCAGAAAGAUUAAGGCGUGAUUAGAGGAUUGGAGCUUUCCAGCCCCACCUCCCAAAUUGCAAGGAGGUGUGAGAGCUGAAGGUUGAGUUGAUCACCAAUAGCCAGUGAUGUAAUCAAUCAUGCCUAUGUAAUGAAGCCUCCAUAUAAACCCAAAAAGACUGAGUUCUGGAAACUUCUGGAUAGCUGAACAUAUGGAAGUUCCUGGAGGGUGGUGUGCCUGAUAAGGGCAUGGAAACUCCAUACCCCUUCCCUCAUGCCUCGCCCUAUCUAUCCCUUCAUCUGGCUAUUUAUCUGUAUCCUUUGUAAUAUCCUUUAUAAUCUGGUAAACACAAGUUAAGUGUUUCCUUGAGUUCUGUGAACAGGUCUAGCACAUAAAUCUAACCUAAGGAAGGGUGGUGGGAACCCCAAUUUAUAGCUGGUCAGUUAGAAGCACAGGUCACAACCUGGGGAUUGUGACUGGCAUCUGAAAUGGAGGGGGCAGUGUUGUGGGACUGAGACCUCAACCUGUGGGAUCUGAUGCUACCUGAUAGUGUCAGAAUUAAAUCGAAUUUCAGGACACCUAGCUGGUCUGCUGCUGAAUUGAUUGCUUGGUUGGUGUGUAGGGAAAUCCACCCCCACACCUCUGGUGUCAGAAGUAUUGUACUGAAUGGUGAGAGACAGUAGGAAAACACAUUGAUUUUUCCUGUAUCUUUCUUGUAGGCUUUUAGUGCCAUUUUCAGAUAGUCCUAAGCCUCUUCCAUGCUUGCUUUUGCAGGGCAGUUUUUAUCAAUAACAUUGCUAAGGCUUUUGCUUUUCUCUAGUAUGCCCUGGAAAAAGUGUGCUGCUGGGCUUCCUUUCCUCUCUAGAGGAGUGAUUUCUUUC
rnacentral:lncRNA from 1 species